rnacentral:rRNA from 1 species
AACGAACGCUGGCGGCGUGCCUAACACAUGCAAGUCGAACGCGAAAGUCCUUCGGGAUGAGUAAAGUGGCGCACGGGUGAGUAACACGUAGGUGACCUACCUUUUAGUACGGAAUAACCAGAAGAAAUUUUGGCUAAUACCUAAUACGAUCAGUGAUGAUGAAAGUGUGCCUCUGCAUAUGCACACGCUAAAAGAUGGGCCUGCGGUACAUUAGCUAGUUGGUGGGGUAAUGGCCUACCAAGGCGACGAUGUAUAUCCGGUCUGAGAGGAUGAUCGGACACACUGGAACUGAGACACGGUCCAGACUCCUACGGGAGGCAGCAGUGGGGAAUAUUGCGCAAUGGGGAAACCCUGACGCAGCAACGCCGCGUGAGUGAGGAAGGACUUCGGUCUGUAAAGCUCUGUUAAUGUGGAAAAAUGUUGAUUGGUCUAAUAGGCCGAUUAGUUGAUGGUACACAUAGAGGAAGCACCGGCUAACUUCGUGCCAGCCGCCGCCGUAA